GACACUGGGACAAGCCACAUUACUUGGAGAUUGUCACGGCCAAUCCAGAUGUCACUGAUGCAACACCUGACUUGGCAAUAUCUGGUAAACUUAUCAGCAAACUCAGCAAGGAGGCUUAUGGCUGAGCAAAUACAAAGAUAGUUCAUUUUCACACACACAGAGGGAGUUUGGGGCCUAUCAGCAAGAAAGUACAAAAAACAGACUUUGCUUCAGAGGUGGCAGUGGUGGGGGAGAGCGGUCAAGCCUGUUAUUGCCAAAACACAGGACUUCAAGCCAGAGCUCAAUGAAAACAAACAUGCUGCUGGAGAAGAAGGUGAAAAGUGAAUCAAAGUUCUGCUGCCUCAGGGAAAAUAAUCUCACCAUUUGUUUCAUCUAAGCUUCUCCUCAGGACAGCACUGAGGCAGCUCAAUUUUGCAAAGCUCAGCAGCGAAAUUGCAACCAAACAUAGUUCACGUAAGGGGAGAAUUACCUCAGAGGCAUUAAGAGAGCACAAAAGCUUGCAUCAGCUUUUGCACAGGCACAGCAGCUGACAUAUGGCACAAUGCAACAAGCAACCAAACCCAGAGCUAUUUGACAGUGACCUACGCAUCUGCUGGGGUAAGAACCAAGGCCUUAGGGCACAGUUGAAACCAAGCUAGGCUGAAUGAGAAAAAGCAACUUCCCCGUUCUUUCUUACAGUGCAUCUAUGUGCAGCACAGCUAAUUGCAGCGCGUUAGGAAUGGGGCUAUACCUAUUACAACCUUAUAAAAAAUAACUCUAAAAUUACAUUGUAGGGUUCUCUACCUAAUGAUGGAUUAAAUUUAUUUUGUGUUCAAGUGAAAAUGAGGGGUUUUAUUAAUAUUUCCCCCUAACUGGUAGUCUGAAGAUUCAUUCUUGGGUCCCAAAAAGUCAAACCCAAACACUUCUGUUCUAUAUUUCUAGCAAGAAAUGUUGCUUAUACAAAACCUUCCCCCUAAGCAACACCAGACUGAUACAGCAGGUUUGGGAACUGGGGAGUAAGAAGACAAAUUUUAGUUUUAAAGGACUGAGGAUUAGGAUUUAGCAGUGUCCUGAACGUGCAGAGUUAGAGAGGGGAAAAUCAAGGUAAUGCAUCUGGGGAACAUGGAACGAGGAAUAUGAAUAAGGAACACGUUUUUUGCCACAAUGAUUUUAAGUGACUGGCAAUGGUAUCUGGAAAGGCAGACACUAGGGAGGCAGGCAGAGGUGAGAAAGUAAUUUGAAAUGCAUUGCCAUAGAGAUCUGAGAUGCACUGAUGCAGGGAUAACACGAAGUGGAUGUGAGAGAAGGGCUGUUGCGAUACCAGUGGAAAGCAAGAGGUAAGGACUGCCACAGGAGAAGAGGAGGAGUGGAAAAGAGGGUAGGCAUAUGGUGGGAAAAGGCUGAAGGACAGUGAUUUGAGAAGGGAAAAGUAUCUGCCAGUACUAAGAGUGAUAAAAAAGUUCAAGGAUGAAAUAACCUAAACAGGCUGUCCUCAGAGCACGUUUGCAUGAAGUGUUUUGUGCCUGGCUUGUGUCAUCAGGAGACGUAAUUCAGUCGCACGCUUUCUGUCACAAAAGGGCUGAAACUGUAACAUCUAUUUUCCAAUUAUCACUUAUGAUUGAACUACAAGCAACACUUCCCUCCCAUGCUGAAAGAAGCUGCAAACAGUAGUACGGGUGUUACUCCAUUUUUCUCUGAAAUUAUAAUUCUCUUUUGAAUGGCUUGUGGUUUCUUCAGUGUCGUUUUGGUUUUGGGGUUUUUCCCCUUUUUUUCUUUAUUUGGAAGAAAAGUCUGCUGACUUGGGUGGCAUGACUUGAGUGGGUUCCUCUUUUCUCUGAAGGUCUUGCACUAUUUCCCUAAGACACCAAACCAAUUCACACCGGGAAGCACAUACAAAUGCAAAGCAGGAUGAGGCAGUGGCUGAAAACUCCCCUGUGACAGGAUGGUGACGACACAAGAGCAGGAAGCUGCCAGGAACUUCACAGGUUAAGUCUUAGAAGCACAAUGAGGUAAGAGAAGUUGCUGCUUCCAAUAGUGUGAAGUCACUUGAAAGAUGCAGAAACUUCCAAACUUGGGAACAAUGGGUUCCUGGAGGUGAACGAUUCAUAGCAGACAGAAAGAAUUCAGGAAGAAGAGAGUAAUUUCCUUUGGGAGGUAUUUCAGUGAAAUUGGCCCAACUUCAUAAAACCCAGGAAGCUAUGGCUUUUCUUGCAACAAAUCUCCGUCACACCAAAUCAGUCAGACCUAAGACCAAGUAAAAAGUUACAAUGCUAGGAGAAAUAUCCCUUGUUGGGCAGCCAACUCACUUCUAGGCCCCAAAGGACAGCAAAAAAGAAAGUAUAACUUAGUGCUGAACUCAGCCAAUACAACAGCAUUUUGAGCUAGCUCAGGAAGACCCAAGUCAGCUUUCAGUGAUUUCUGGCUAUAAGCCCUGUUAUUUGGAAGUCUGCAGAAGAAAAACCCCAAAGAGCCUACCAUCGGAAGAAAAGAGAAAAGAAAGCCCAGAUGACUACAAGUAAAGCCCACUGGUAACCACGUAAACCCUGACUCUGAAGUGUGAAACUUCACCGUCACUUCAGAACAUCAUGCAGAAAAUCCCUAGAGGAAUCCAAGGAAGAAGGGUGUGCUCAUCAUCACCACCUCUUUGUCUCACACACACACACAUGCACAGACAUGCACACCAAUACAGGUUUGUAUACAUAAACACUUCUGAUUCCUGGGAUCAAAACAGGUACAGAAUGGUAGCAAACCCUUAAUUCCUCAGCGCAGAAAGAUGUCCACAUGUAAUCUUGAGCUACUGCACCCUUCAGCGAAGCACUAGUCAGACAGUGAGACUUUACGAAUAACAUCUACAGCAGAGAACCUUAGGGAGGAGCCCAUCACACAGCAGUGCAGAGCCACUGCGUUUCUCAGUAAUACAGAUCAGAGAGGACAUUGUUUCUCUGACCUUCUCAGAGACGUAUGUAGGUGAGCAACCAUCAGUACCAUUUUACAGAGAUAGACAUCCCCACAAAUAUUGCAGUGAUCAGGCAAUCACUGAUAUAUCUGGGUGUGAGAGGCAAGUCUAAUUCACUAGGUCAUGUGGUUUUUGUAUACAUCAGGCUUUCCCUUGUGAGUCUGUAAAAACAAGUUGCAGACUACUCAACACCACCCCAACACUCUCAGUGAUUGCAAGAAGGGGGUACACAUUUGCACUUAAUUACGGUCUGUUUUCUUCAGUGAUGCUGGGACUCUGGCAAAAGACUGUUGUGCUGACCGCCUUCUCCAAACCAAACACUUGAGAGACCCUGGGAAAGCUGCAAUGAAAUUGCCUCAUUGAAGGCUAUGAUAUCCUAUAAUACAAAACCAUAAUUUCAUAGUAAUUACAUAUAUUACGUAACACAAAUCACUUCUCCAUCAGGUACAGAAAGCUAUUCCUGUUAUUAAGUGCAGCAGUUUGGUUCGAUUUUUUACAACCUAGUGCUCUCCAGAAUGAGCAAAUUAGGUUUGGCUUUCUACAGGAUACAAUUACAGGCUUCAAGCAAAAGAGUCCGAUGCGGGAUUCAACAGUAUGUCUUUGUAAAUUAUACUCUGGGGUUUGCAUUUACUCUCAGUUUGAUGGGGUGAGAGGUAAGAGGCAAUUGCACUGAAUGGGACUUGAAGGAAACAUUUCAGUAAAAAAAAUACAAUGCAGGAAAAAGUUCCAUAUGAUUCAGAGCGCAGGUAUGUGCAGAGUUGAACAGUGACAGGCAAAAAAAAAUGGGGGAGAACGAGGGAAUAAUCUAGCUAUUUUUUGUGGGCUCCAGUUAGUACAGUACGAUGCACUCCGGAGAUGAGAGUGCAUGUGUCCGUUUCCUGAUGACUGUAUUUGAUGCUGCAGCUAAUAGAAAAGAAACAGAUGUAGCCACCAAGAGGCUGGGCCACUGCACUGGCUGACAUGAUUUGCAAUAUUAAUAUGUCUAUAUGGCGAAGUCUGCUCAUUCAGUGUAAUCAUCCUUGUCUUGAUUAGUUCAGUCACUAUCCAGGUUUUUCUCACCAUUUUUGUUUCUUUUAAUUGUGCUCACCCUUCCCUGCCCCAUCCUGACCUGGCUGUGUUUGGAGAACAAACACUUCUUUUGCAUUUAGACUGUGAAGCCUAACAAGCAUCUUCAUUAAAAACCUAAGACAUCAGUA